rnacentral:misc_RNA from 1 species
AUAUAUAAUGCAAUUUUACAGGAAUCACUUGACUGCCCUUAGAAUUUGGAAUUGUGAUCCUAACUUUUUGUUAUGACGUGAUGCUUUCACAUACUGGAUCCCCAAAGUUGUGAUGUGCCCAAAGAACACGAAAAGAAGAUCAUUUUGGUAGCAACAACACAAAAACAAAGAAAGAAAGUUAGAAGAUUAUCCCUAAAAUUUCAUUAAUUUUAAAACAGAAAACUAGUUUAUGUAUGACGGCAUUCUAAAUCCAAAUAUAGUGGAGUACUAGCAGAAUGCUUGCUAAUUACUUGGCUGGGGGAGUGGGGG